CCAAUUCCGGAUCUCAGAUCRAGCAAGAGG
rnacentral:rRNA from 1 species